rnacentral:misc_RNA from 1 species
UUAAGUUCAGCGGGUAGUCCUACCUGAUUUGAGGUCAAGCGUCAAAAAGUAAAAAGGGUCGCAAGUACCCCCAAUACCAUGUUUUUGGAAGCAAAGAUCGAAUCUACGCCUCACACUCCAGCCACGACGAUCAUUAUCACGUCAAAGGCCGUGCAUGCAGGGCUUGUCAACCUUUCGCUAAUGCUUUUAAGGAGAGCCGA